rnacentral:rRNA from 1 species
UACGGAGGGGGCAAGCGUUGUUCGGAAUUACUGGGCGUAAAGGGCUCGUAGGCGGCCAACUAAGUCAGACGUGAAAUCCCUCGGCUUAACCGGGGAACUGCGUCUGAUACUGGAUGGCUUGAGUUCGGGAGAGGGAUGCGGAAUUCCAGGUGUAGCGGUGAAAUGCGUAGAUAUCUGGAGGAACACCGGUGGCGAAGGCGGCAUCCUGGACCGACACUGACGCUGAGGAGCGAAAGCCAGGGGAGCAAACGGG